rnacentral:rRNA from 1 species
AACGAACGCUGGCGGCAUGCCUAACACAUGCAAGUCGAACGAGACCUUCGGGUCUAGUGGCGCACGGGUGCGUAACGCGUGGGAACCUGCCCUUAGGUUCGGAAUAACUCCCCGAAAGGGGUGCUAAUACCGGAUAAUGUCUUCGGCCCAAAGAUUUAUCGCCUUUGGAUGGGCCCGCGUUGGAUUAGCUAGUUGGUAGGGUAAAAGCCUACCAAGGCGACGAUCCAUAGCUGGUCUGAGAGGAUGAUCAGCCACACUGGGACUGAGACACGGCCCAGACUCCUACGGGAGGCAGCAGUGGGGAAUAGUGGACAAUGGGCGAAAGCCUGAUCCAGCAAUGCCGCGUGAGUGAUGAAGGCCUUAGAGUUGUAAAGCGCUUGUACCCGGGAUGAUAAUGACAGUACCGGGAGAAUAAGCUCCGGCUAACUCCGUG